GCCGGGGUAGCUCAGUCGGUAGAGCAGGGGACUGAAAAUCCCCGUGUCGGCAGUUCAAUUCUGUCCCCCGGCA
rnacentral:tRNA from 1 species